rnacentral:rRNA from 1 species
GACGAGGGGUCCUAGCGUUGUUCGGAAUUACUGGGCGUAAAGCGCGUGUAGGCGGAUGGGCAAGUCUGCUGUGAAAGCUCCUGGCUUAACCGGGAGUGGUCGGUGGAAACUGCCAAUCUGGAGGACGGUAGAGGUAGGUAGAAUUCCCGGUGUAGUGGUGAAAUGCGUAGAGAUCGGGAGGAAUACCUGUGGCGAAGGCGGCCUACUGGGCCGGACCUGACGCUGAGACGCGAAGGCGUGGGGAGCGAACGGG